rfam:Aedes albopictus isolate Foshan contig17817, whole genome shotgun sequence.
UGCCCUGCAACUCUUAUCCCUACCUCCUCGCGGUACCGGUCGGAAAUUAUGAACAACCUUAGGGAAGAUCGGGUAACCAACCCCGGUGGGAACUUUGGUCGUAGGCUGACAGGGAAGG